rnacentral:rRNA from 1 species
CAGCCGCCGCGGGAAUACAGAGGGUGCGAGCGUUAAUCGGAUUUACUGGGCGUAAAGCGUGCGUAGGCGGCUUUUUAAGUCGGAUGUGAAAUCCCUGAGCUUAACUUAGGAAUUGCAUUCGAUACUGGGAAGCUAGAGUAUGGGAGAGGAUGGUAGAAUUCCAGGUGUAGCGGUGAAAUGCGUAGAGAUCUGGAGGAAUACCGAUGGCGAAGGCAGCCAUCUGGCCUAAUACUGACGCUGAGGUACGAAAGCAUGGGGAGCAAACAGGAUUAGAUACCCCCGUAGUCCCUGUCUCUUAUAA